AUUGACCAACAACUGCUGCCAAGUUUCCGAGUGCACUCACAUGAUUCUGGAAGUGGCAGUUUCAAGCAGCUGUGAUGAGGUGGUGAGCAGUGAGUUGCUCCUCACUCAUGCAGUGGGCCCUGGAAUGAAGAGGAGGAAAGCAGACCUGAAAUGGAGAUGGGGCUCAGAGUCCCACAGCCUCCCACUGGCAGGCCCGAGUAUCAUCUGAAGCCACCCAGCUCUGUGCCUGCCUGCAGCCCCAGACCUCCAGCUUUCUACUAACGUCAGCAUUGCCUGCCCUGGGGCAACCCCUGUUUCUCCAUGUGUCUCCUCUGGGUCUGGUCAUGAUGCCUGGGGAGCCAAUGCUGCUUUGCUGUGUUGUAUCAUUUGGGAUCAACUUGCCUGACUCUUACAAAGGACUUGAAACCUUGGGGUAUGGCCCUGUUGGGGGAGGUCACUGGCAGGACCACGGUAAUAUCCAAAGGGCAGGGGCCUAUGUCAGCUCCAGCUACUCCACCACCCCGAAUCCAGAAAAUCCUCCUCCUGUUCUUACCGUGGCUCUCCGGCUGUCUCCCCAACCUGCAGCUCUAACUCCCCAGGCCCUGACCUCUAUCCUAACCCCUCCCUACUCAUCCCAAUCCAAAAGCUUUCAGGAGAAGCUUGCAUUUCUUGUUUGCAGCAGGACGCUCCUUAAAGAAGCUUACCUUUUUACCCCUACCCCCAAAGCUUUGAUGAGCUAUUUAACAGUAAUUAUUUAAUCUUUCCUUGUGGACAGUUCUCUGUGCAUUCACCCAGGCUGGAGUGUGUGCUUUUUGCCCUUUUGUGACUUGAUCAGAACCCCAAGAUUUUUCCUCCCAGCAUGUUUCCUCCUCUCAUGCAUACGAUGCCUGAAAAGAAAUACAUAUUCUUAAAUGAUGCUGUCACCUCUCACUCAGAGGAGGAAUAAAUGUGCCAGAAAGCAUUCACAGCUAAUUCUGUGGAACAACUGGGACAUUUAAUAGCUAGCAUUUUGUUGGCUCCAUAGGGAAGUUAAUGAUUUGAUUUGAUUUAUUGAGGAGUUUUGUUUGUUAUGCUUUGCUGUGUUUCGCCUCCAUGCAGAGAAGGAGAAAAUGACAAAAGAAGUGUAAGACCCAGGUAGAGCUCUCUUUUAAGGCAGCAUUUCUCAACCUCAGCGCUAUUCAUAGUUGGAAUGAAUAAUUCUUUUUUGCAGGGGCCUGUGCUGUGCAUCAGAGGAUGUUGAGCAGUGUCCCUGGCCUCUACCCAGCAGAUGCCAAUAGCACCCUCCUUUCCAACUGUGACAAUCAAAAAUGUCUCCAGACAUUGCCAAAUGCCUCCUUGGAGCCAAAACCACCCCUGGUUGAAACCACUGCCUUAGGGUCAUCUCAUUUUGAUUAUUCAGAUAGCACAUCAUCAAAUAACCUUCUGCUCCAUCUCAGCUUUUCUCCAAUAAGUCUAAACCUUAGUUAAGGGAUUGCCACUUACUGGUUAUCAGAUGUGGCUUUUUAGCUACAUCUGAAUCUGCCUAUAAAUUAAUAAUACAUAGAUAAUCUAGUUUAUAAAUCUAUUGUUAGUUUAGCUUAAGUGAGUCCCUCUUCCAGACAUGAAUAUACACUGAAGUAAAAAAAAAAAUUAAGUUUCUGAAUCAAUAAAACUGACCAUCAAAACCUGUGCCAAGGAAUUUUGGCUGAAAGACCUGUAACAGCCACACAGGCUGGAUCUUACAUCCCAAGCAGGAAGAGGGUGCUUAGGAAAAGAUACAAGGAAUAACUACACACAUCUACAUAGAAAAUUACAUACGGCCUGUCUUGACUCAACUUGUGUUUCCAUAAACUAAUUAGCCUAUCUGUGAUUGGUAAAUUUUUGGUUACCAAUCACAUGUAACUUAAUGACGUGGAAGCUGUCUUGGUUCAGGUGUGUUUUUUUCCCAAGGUGAAGGGAGCCAGAGAGGAGAGAGUCAGUAGAAUUAGAACCUCCAACGGGAAGAGAAGAACCUUUGGCUUGCCCAUGGGACUAGUAGGAGCCCAGUCAGAUCUAGUGUAUCAUGCUGUAACAGAAAAACCUAUUGUCACAGGAAAAGAAAAGGCUGGAAAACAUCUAAGCAGGGAAUGCUGUGGCCGAUGAAUAGGCAUGGUGGGGGUCCCCUCACGAGGAUUCCGGUGAAUAUGAGGUACUAGUAAUUACAGACUUCUCUACUUCCUUCUAUGAUUUAGGAGAUAAAUAAAAUUCAAGAUACCUCAGGCUCUCAGCAAGUCACAAGAAAACAAGAAAACAUGAUGCUGUCUGAGCAAUUGGUACAGGAAGCCUGGACACAUUGCUGAGGAAAUCAGAACUUCUUUGCAAAAGAUGGUGACAAUCUGUGGCCAAGAUGCUGCCGGGAGAUGAUUACAGGCACAGGAGAGGAGUUUCAGGCAGUUCCACUAAGAAAGUUCCCAUCUCAAGAGGAUGCUGUUUGAUUUCUUGUUAUUCACCAUCCGUGUGAUCCAUGGGGGGAAGAAAAGGUAUUAAAGAAGAGAAGCAUAUUAAUGUUAUUACUCCUUUCUAACUUUACAGAGUGGCUACUCUUUUAAAUUCUUUUGAGACAAACACCUGAAAGAAAAUGUUGAUAUGUGAGAUAAGCAAUAAGCAGUGUUUGAAUACAUGCAUAUGUUAAAGGACACCAUUAAAAUUAAAAAUAACUCUAGAAAGGAAACAAAG
rnacentral:lncRNA from 1 species